rnacentral:rRNA from 1 species
UACGGAGGGUGCAAGCGUUGUCCGGAUUUAUUGGGUUUAAAGGGUGCGUAGGCGGCUAAUUAAGUCAGCGGUGAAAUUCCACAGCUCAACUGUGGAACUGCCAUUGAUACUGGUUGGCUUGAGUACAGAUGAGGUAGGCGGAAUUGACAGUGUAGCGGUGAAAUGCUUAGAUAUGACAUAGAACACCAAUUGCGAAGGCAGCUCACUACACAGUUAUUGACGCUGAGGCACGAAAGCGUGGGGAUCAAACAGG